rnacentral:rRNA from 1 species
UACGGGGGGGGCAAGCGUUGUUCGGAAUUACUGGGCGUAAAGAGCGUGUAGGCGGCCGUACAGGUCAGCUGUGAAAACUCGAGGCUCAACCUCGAGACGUCGGUUGAAACCGUACGGCUAGAGUCCGGAAGAGGAGAGUGGAAUUCCCGGUGUAGCGGUGAAAUGCGCAGAUAUCGGGAAGAACACCCGUGGCGAAGGCGGCUCUCUGGGACGGUACUGACGCUGAGACGCGAAAGCGUGGGGAGCGAACAGG